AGGGUGUAAACGCCGCAGACUUGGUGUUGGGAACCCUUCGGGGGUGCUCAGUGCCGGAGAGAAGUUGUUAAGUCUGCUACUUGGGGAGUACGUCCGCAAGGAUGAAACUUAAAGGAAUUGGCGGGGGAGCACCGCAACGGGAGGAGCGUGCGGUUUAAUUGGAUUCAACGCCGGACAUCCCACAGGGCGACAGCAGAAUGAUGGCCAGGUUGAUGACCUUGCUUGACAAGCUGAGAGGAGGUGCAUGGCGUGUGACUGU
rnacentral:rRNA from 1 species